UACGAAGGGGGCUAGCGUUGCUCGGAAUCACUGGGCGUAAAGCGCACGUAGUCGGCUUUGCAAGUCGGGUGUGAAAUCCCCGGGCUCAACCUGGGAACUGCAUCCGAGACUGCAUUGCUAGAGUAUGGGAGAGGGAAGCGGAAUUUCUGGUGUAGCAGUGAAAUGCGUAGAUAUCAGAAGGAACAUCAGUGGCGAAGGCGGGCUUCC
rnacentral:rRNA from 1 species